UACGAAGGGGGCUAGCGUUGCUCGGAAUCACUGGGCGUAAAGGGUGCGUAGGCGGGUCUUUAAGUCAGGGGUGAAAUCCUGGAGCUCAACUCCAGAACUGCCUUUGAUACUGAGGAUCUUGAGUUCGGGGAGAGGUGAGUGGAACUGCGAGUGUAGAGGUGAAAUUCGUAGAUAUUCGCAAAGAACACCAGUGGCGAAGGCGGCUCACUGGCCCGAUACUGACGCUGAGGCACGAAAGCGUGGGGAGCAAACAGG
rnacentral:rRNA from 1 species